rnacentral:rRNA from 1 species
GACGAACGCUGGCGGCGUGCUUAACACAUGCAAGUCGAACGGAAAGGCCCUGCUUUUGUGGGGUGCUCGAGUGGCGAACGGGUGAGUAACACGUGAGUAACCUGCCCUUGACUUUGGGAUAACUUCAGGAAACUGGGGCUAAUACCGGAUAGGAGCUCCUGCUGCAUGGUGGGGGUUGGAAAGUUUCGGCGGUUGGGGAUGGACUCGCGGCUUAUCAGCUUGUUGGUGGGGUAGUGGCUUACGAAGGCUUUGACGGGUAGCCGGCCUGAGAGGGUGACCGGCCACAUUGGGCCUGAGAUACGGCCCAGACUCCUACGGGAGGCAGCAGUGGGGAAUAUUGCACAAUGGGCGGAAGCCUGAUGCAGCAACGCCGCGUGCGGGAUGACGUCCUUCGGGUUGUAAACCGCUUUCGCCUGUGACGAAGCGUGAGUGACGGUAAUGGGUAAAGAAGCACCGGCUAACUACGUG